rnacentral:rRNA from 1 species
CCCUUAGAUGUCCUGGGCCGCACGCGUGCUACACUGACGCCUACAGCGAGUACUUCCCAGCCCCGAGAGGUGGCUGGUAAUCAGCAAUAGGCGUCGUGAUGGGGAUAGAUCUUUGGAAUUAUGGAUCUUGAACGAGGAAUGCCUAGUAAGCGCAGGUCAUUAGCCUGCGCUGAUUAAGUCCCUGCCCUUUGUACACACCGCCCGUCGCUCCUACCGAUUUCGAGUGGUCCGGUGAAUCUUUCGGACUGCGCGCGGCCUCGUGCCGUGUCGCGGAAAGUCAGGUAAACCUUAUCACUUAGAGGAAGGAGAAGUCGUANCA